rnacentral:sRNA from 1 species
GGACAAUGAUUAUAAUAGUUUGUCAUAUGCGCUUAAUAUAAGAGCAGAGCUCUAGUAGAGCUUAGUAUUAAAAGCAAACUAUUAAAAUCCAUUAGAGAAAUAUUAUAAAAUUAAACCUCCAGCAACAAGUGUUCAUUAUAAAUAUAAAUAAUACUAAAUAGCUUGUUAGUUCAUUCGCAAUGAGAUCGCAAGCCAUUUAAUGUAAUGCCUCAAGUAGCAUCAUCCAGAUGUUAAGUUGAUGCAAUUUUCCACCACUUACCUGCUUCUCUCUACACAAACAUAUAUAUAAUUUAUUCUGAGCCAUUAAAAUUAGUAUGCUGAAUAGCAUAAGGCUGUUCGGACUCGAGGAAACCAAAAACCCUCCAUCUAAAAGGUGCGUGUGUGGACCACAAAUCACAUUUCCCCGGCUGACAGCUCAUCUGCGUUGACCGUGAAUAAAGCAUAAAUGGGAUUGGGCCCUAGGUCAAUACAUAUUUUUGAUAAUUGGCAUUGAUAAAAAUAGGUGCGAGUAGUCAGUCAGAAUGGCGUGGAGUGAGUGAGUAAGACAAUUAAUCUAUGUUUCGUGAUUCACUAAUCGGGUGUGACGAAUCCACUUGGUGGUAAUGGAAACUGCAUUAGCCUGCACCUAAAUCUGGCACAUUGUCAUGGCAGCAAUUGGGCAAGUCGUAACGAAUAGUGACAUUCGUUUGACUUCAACUCAUCAUCCUCGUCAUCGUGAUAGGGUGGCGGAGGGGUUUGGGCUUGUGGCCAGGCAAGUGUACAAUUGAGAGCAAACAAUUCAAAUGCCUGUGUAUACAUUAAGGCCAAAAAUAGAUAUCUGAUUAGUGGCGGCUACGUCACCAGGUGGGGCUGUUCAGUUCGACCAUCGGCAGAGCUACUACAGAUUUAUGGGCGGGGUGUGUCCGCUUCGAUGUUCUCGGGGCUCAUAUAGACAUAGACCAGCCAUAUAGCUAGAGCGCAGUGCGGCGCACUCCAACGAUCUCAGUCGGAUGUAGACAACAAUCGGCAGCAGAACAGAACACAUCACAAGGUAGACAGAUCUUACUGGGGCCAUACUUAUACCCCGUGCAUCGACAAUACCUACCUGUAUUACCUGAGCUCCUGAGAUUCCGGGCGACAUGUGGAUGACGGGAAGCAAGCAGCGGCGGUGCAAUUUUAGCAGUAGCAGAAGGAAUGUGGCAAGAAGGACAUUUGGCAGUUGUAAAAACAAGUUUCCAAUCGUUAUGCAUUUUGCUUGGAUUUAUUUAUAGACGCGGUAUUGGUUUUAAGUAUUAAAUACAUGAGAGAUACAAUUAAACAACAAAAGAGUGUACGCGAGUGUUGGUUCUUACCAAAUAUUCAAAUGGAAACAAAUCAAUUAAGUUUCAAAGUCAUCGUAAAGUGAUCGAACAUAAAAACAUAUCGGAUAAACAUAAACAUGACAGAUAAAAGACAGAUAAGACUUAAAACGAAGGUCGCAUGAGUUUUUAUGAUUAAUUUUUUAGUAAAGCUUCUCGCCACAAAGGAAAACGUGUAACAAAAAGUAUUAAAAUUGGCGGCAAAAGCGGCAUUUACUUUCGAGAUUCGUUUGGAUUUUGUACACGAAAUGGAUGAUUGAUUGCUGGCGAUCGAGUACGAAAGUGUGUGACAAACAAUAGAGUAACGAAACGAAUUAGUAAUAAUUAAAAGCGGUAAUAAAAAAUGAAUAAUAAAAUCUCAUGCAACAUCACUACAAAAUAAAUAAAAUUCAAUUAAACGUAAAUUCAAUUAAAGUAAACAAUACAAUAAUCAUUUUAACAUCGUCUACUAUCGAAGUCAUCAUAGAUUGACCGAAGGACUGGAGCGUUUUGUCUGUUCGGAGUUGCUGGGGGACUACGGAACCUUAAUCAUUGCUUAAAAGUCGAAAUCUGCCUGGCAGCUAAAUAUAAAUAUAAAUCUCGGUGCAUCUAUGAAUCACAGAGGCUCGCGGCUUGAUGACUGAACAGCCGUAACUGAUUAAUCUAAUUAAAUUCUUUUCUGCACCAUAAACAGAAUCAUCAAUUCAUGUUCUUCUCUAAUGACCAAGAGGAUGAGUCGCCCGACUAACAUCGGUAUAUCUCUCACCUCUGCCUGAUCCACCUUAUAGACAGCAGUAGCAACAACAAGAGGUAAUCUAUCAUGUUGUUUUCCUAUAGAACCUAGAACCUAGAACAUAGUACCUAAACCAACCACGUAUGCCUAAGCAAAUAUAUUUAUUCGGUUUCGUUGUUUUUUGUGUUUUAUUGAAAGAAAAUUGAAAUAAAUUUCAAGAUUUACUUGAGAAAAUACAUAAAUGUUUUUCAUUGUAGCUGAAAGCCUGAAAUCCAGACAGCACCGCGUGACUAAAAAUAGCGUAACGGAUUUCGAACGCUAAUCUAUUGGAAAUUAGUUCUCGAAAGCAAAACAUUCACGUUCUCCAAAAAGAAAUUGAAAAUAGAACAGCCGCUGGGCGGCGUACGUAUGUCUUAUAAUAUGUCUGAGAAAAUUCGGCUGGCAGCUGAAAGGCUUUCGAUAUUUUCUGUUUUUUCUACAGACUGACUCGAUUCGUGCUAGUUUUUGCGCACGUUCGCAGGGGGAAAUUGAAGAUGAAAAAUAGAAUAUGGGAAAUGUGUAUCUGGCAGAUACAAGAUAGCGCACCACUGGCAUCGCCACGAAGCCCGCGGUGUGUGUGCGCUAGAUGUGUCAUCCAUAAUAUUUUAUGCUAAUAUUCAAAUGAAAAAUACAACUUUCACGCUCGAGCGGAGGCGGGACAAAUGUGCGUUUUGCACACGGCCCCAAAACUAUCCCACUCAUAGAUGGGGCACAUAAUACCUAUGUAUGUGCUGCAUGGCUAUAAGUAUUUAAGUAUAUUUACGGACGACGGGUUGGGUACUGAAAAUAUUAUUAUGUGUGCGCUUAAAGUGGCCUGCUGGUACAUAAGCAGCCGUAUUUAUAACUCAACUCGAGGGGCUAGAGAUCCUCUAUACGCUAUGCUACAUUUGGUUUUGAGUCACUUCCACUUUCACUCAACUGGCUACAGAAAAUUUCAAAUUUCAUUUAAUGCCUGCUGUUGUUGUUGCUUCUGUUGUCUUGGCUGUGCCAGAAAGAAAAAUGGUCUAUAAAUAUUUAUGUUGCAAAAUACUUGUAAUGAUUUUUAUUAUUUUUCAAUUAAAAAUUGUUUUCAUAUUUUUGUGAUGCUUUUUCGGUUACGUUUUCGUGUUAGACAUCUUUAAUUUGUUCCUUUUUUUUUGUUUUUGCUGCAUUUCACUUUUUACAUUUUGCAAUGGUUAGUAAAAAUAACUCGUUCGUUUGAUAGUAUAGAAAAAUCCUUGAAAGUUUCGACAGGCUCGCUCUAAAAUAUUCUUCAC